CCUACGGGUGGCUGCAGUGAGGAAUAUUGGUCAAUGGCCGGAAGGCUGAACCAGCCAUGCCGCGUGAAGGUCAGUGCCCUAUGGGCGUUAAACUUCUUUUGUGCGGGAGCAAUAAUGGUCACGUGUGGCCAGACGAGAGUACCGUACGAAUAAGCAUCGGCUACAUCCGUGCCAGCAACCGCGGUCAUACGGGGGGUGCAAGCGUAAUCCGGAUUUAUUGGGUUUAAAGGGUGCGUAGGCUGUGAGGUAAGUCAGCGGGGAAAUGCCCCCGCUCAACGGGGUGAAGUGCAAUUGAUACUGGUUGGCUGGAAUGCGGAUGCGGUGGGAAGAAUGUGUGGUGUAGCGGUGAAAUGCGUAGAUAUCAGACAGAACACCGAUUGCGAAGGCAGCUCACGGAUCCGCGAUUGACGCUGAUGCGCGAAAGCGUGGGUAUCAAACAGGAUUAGAUACCCGAGUAGUC
rnacentral:rRNA from 1 species